UACGGGGGGGCAAGCGUUGUUCGGAAUUACUGGGCGUAAAGGGCUCGUAGGCGGCCAACUAAGUCGGACGUGAAAUCCCCAGGCUCAACCUGGGAACUGCGUCUGAUACUGGAUGGCUUGAAUCCGGGAGAGGGAUGCAGAAUUCCAGGUGUAGUGGUGAAAUACGUAGAUAUCUGGAGGAACACCGGUGGCGAAGGCGGCUACCUGGCCCAACAUUGACGCUGAGACCCGAAAGCAUGGGGAUCAAACAGG
rnacentral:rRNA from 1 species